CCUACGGGGUGCAGCAGUCGGGAAUAUUGCGCAAUGGAGGAAACUCUGACGCAGUGACGCCGCGUGCAGGAAGAAGGUUUUCGGAUUGUAAACUUCUUUAGACAGGGAAGAAAAAAGACAGUAUCUGUAGAAUAAGCUCCGCCUAACUACGUGCCAGCAGCCGCGGUAAUACGUAGGGAGCAAGCGUUAUCCGGGUUUAUUGGGUGUAAAGGGUGCGUAGGUUGUGUUUUAAGUCAGCGGUGAAAGUUUGUGGCUCAACCAUAAAAUUGCCGUUGAAACUGGAAGACUUGAGUGUGUUUGAGGUAAGCGGAAUGCGUGGUGUAGCGGUGAAAUGCAUAGAUA
rnacentral:rRNA from 1 species